rnacentral:rRNA from 1 species
GUGGGGAAUCUUGCGCAAUGGGCGAAAGCCUGACGCAGCCAUGCCGCGUGAAUGAUGAAGGUCUUAGGAUUGUAAAAUUCUUUCACCGGGGACGAUAAUGACGGUACCCGGAGAAGAAGCUCCGGCUAACUUCGUGCCAACAGCCGCGGUAAUACGAAGGGGGCUAGCGUUGCUCGGAAUUACUGGGCGUAAAGGGCGCGUAGGCGGACAGCUUAGUCAGAGGUGAAAGCCCAGGGCUCAACCUUGGAAUUGCCUUUGAUACUGGCUGUCUUGAGUUUGGGAGAGGUGAGUGGAACUCCGAGUGUAGAGGUGAAAUUCGUAGAUAUUCGGAAGAACACCAGUGGCGAAGGCGACUCACUGGCCCAAUACUGACGCUGAGGCGCGAAAGCGUGGGGAGCAAACAGGAUUAGAAACCCCUGUAGUCC